UACGAAGGGGGCUAGCGUUGCUCGGAAUUACUGGGCGUAAAGGGCGCGUAGGCGGACAGUUUAGUCAGAGGUAAAAGCCCAGGGCUCAACCUUGGAACUGCCUUUGAUACUGACUGUCUUGAGUUCGGGAGAGGUGAGUGGAAUGCCGAGUGUAGAGGUGAAAUUCGUAGAUAUUCGGCGGAACACCAGUGGCGAAGGCGACUCACUGGCCCGAUACUGACGCUGAGGCGCGAAAGCGCGGGGAGCAAACAGG
rnacentral:rRNA from 1 species